CAAGAUCGUCUGUCAAACUCAAGUACCAUUAAAAAAGGUCAAGAAAAGUGCUGUGGCUCCUCUGCCUCCAACUCUGAAACAGAAAUCUGCUGUGGCGGUCGCAUCCACCUGCGUGAUCAUCCAGAAACUGGUUGCUGUGGAAAUGAAAUCUACAACAAGUCCUCUCAACUUUGCUGUGGGCCUCUCACAGAUAGAAGGGUCUUAACAAAAAAUACAUCAGAAGAAAUAUGCUGUGGCCAUAAGUCGUAUGUUAAAGCCCACCA